rnacentral:lncRNA from 1 species
AUGGAAUCCAAACCACCAUCACUAUUACUAAUGUCACGAUAAUUGGCAUUGAUACAUAUGUAGCCAUAUGCUUCCUGCUGAGUCAGUUUUGAAAUACCAAAGUCCAAAAGGUAGCAGACAGAAGACAGAAGAAUAAAUUCCUAGAGGUCACCAAAUAGUCAGCAAUUUGUUAUUUUUAGUGAGCAUCACAACCAUAACAACAAGAAUUAUCUGAUACAGUUGUCUACAGCAGCAGUGGUUUGCCUCAAGUGAUCUUGCCCUGUCCUGCCAAAGAGCUGCAGCUCCAUGAAACACGAUUUGGACACAAAAUCCACAAGACACAAGCUCAAGAGGUCUGUCCUCGGUGUCAGAAGCGAGUGCUUUUGAACUGGUGGUGGGAGGAGCAGAAAGUCUUCCCAUCUUACAAUGUGAGAAAAAGCGAAAAUUCCCAUCAGAAGUGACUCAUCAACAUUAAUCAUAUAUACACCAGAUUGAAAGGCACUCAGAACAUGGAGUCUGAAUCCCAGCCUCAGUUAAGCAAAUGAGAAGCAAAUUUCUCAGUGCUAUUGUAUCCUUUUAACUGCUGUAUCUGUACAGUUCUGCACAAUGAAGCUGAUGAACAUAAAUUUAUUGUUUCUAGCACUGAACUUUUACAGAGAAGUGCUGCUGAAUCUUUUGGAAGAACAAGCAGCUGAGUAGCAUGGAACUGCCUGUGUCUUGAAAUGAAUAAGCACCAGUGUAAAGAUUUUCACAUGUGAAACAUUCACAUUUACAUGACUUACCACCUGGUCUGUGCAUUAAAAUUAAUAUCCUUGUAAUUUAACCAAGUAGAUGA